GCCAGCAGCCCCUUCCCCAUCUCUCCCACCUUUAGCAGGAGCUCUGGACACAGCUGAACCUGUGGUGGAGAAAGCUCCAGCUUUGUUGAAAAGUAAACAAGAAACCAGAGAAGAAAGUAACGCGAUCCAAGAAGAUCAACAACAUCGUUCUAUGAAAAUCAAUUCUAAUUCUAACCUGGUCAAUACAGAGCGGCCCCGCUUCACCAGACGGGAGAUGAAUGUUGCAUGCUUGCCCACGGGACUGUGCUGCCCGCCCUCCCCAGUGUGCUGCGGGUGUUGGUUUGCUGAAGCUGAGACAACCACAAGAUGUUUCCAUAAAGAACAGAAAAGUUGGAUUGAAUGUUCUCUCUCUUUAAAUGAAAAUACCUAUUCUUAACCUGAACCAAGGCCAGUGUCUCAUGCAACAUGGAUGAGUCAGAUUUUAAAGUUUCUGCAAUCCCCCUGAUGCUUGGAGUGAUGCAGGAUGAGUCCAGCACAUAACAUCAAUGAGGCUCCUCUGUGCUCUCAGGGUGUUCAUGUGGAGCCAGUGAUGGAGUUGGUGUUCCAAUUCAUGCAUGUAUCGCUGCUUUAUCCUUUGGGAUGAACUCAUCUGGGGCUUCGACUCAAGAAACAGCAGGAGAGAUGCUCAAAACAAGCCUGUGAAGCUGAAAAUAGCACACCCCAGUUGCUGCUGCUUUCAAGAUAAAGAUGUCACCAGUGCUUGCCUUCUUGUGCAGUGUUCAUAAAAUGAGAUUAGAGUGAUUUACAAUAGUGAAAGAUGGAACAAGACUAAGAGGAGAUGUGACUCAUUAGACAUCAUCCUGUGACUGUUGGAAGGAACCUGCAUCGCUCAGGAAGGUAUGCUGUGAUUUUCUAGGGCAGUCUGGGGAAUUUAGACCUACCCUUGAGGUGUUUCAGUACCAAAGCAUCUGUGUUCCACCCAAAAACAUGACCUAUCAUCCCUGAUUUUAUCUUUUGUGAAACCAGCCAAGCAAUUCAGAGCAAAGGCUCCCAAACUCCUUCCUGACUAUCUAAGUCUACUUUAUGAUAUUGCUUUGAAAAGGUUAUCUUGUAAAUGUUGUGUGAGAUUUUAAAAAGAAAAAAAAAAAAGAUACUUUUGUUUGAAUUCAAUAUGGGGGAAUUAUACUUUGAUUGUUAUUUCUAGUGCUUCAAAAUCAUCAGUAUUAGUUAUGGCUAGAGAGUCUAGAUCUUCUUGUACUUGGGACUUAAAGAACUUGCUUUCCUGGUCGACAAACCAAAAAUACAUUCAUCUGUUCUGUUAACGGGCAUGAGUUUGGCUUCUUUGAGCAAAUGAAAAAGAAAUAGGAAGAGCACCUGAGGGGUUAUUUUAUUGAGCAAGGAAAUGAACUCCAGAAGAAGUUGUUUCACUGUUUGGAUUCAUUCAUGGUACUGAGAACCGGUGAGUGGAUUCCUGUGUGGACGUUUGG